rnacentral:lncRNA from 1 species
GUUGGGGAAGUGGAGUCAGACAGGAGCCCUACUGAGGCUCCAAGUCAGUGGGCCGGGUUGGGCUGGACUGGAGGAGAGAGUGGUGCCAGAGGAUCCUCCCCAGGGCAGAUGGCUAUUUUUGGUGUCGACUGCUCGGCUUAUAGCCACCCCUCUUCCUGUCUUCCCAAUCCAAAGAGGCUCUGGGUCCAGCAGGGGCAGGAGCAGUAGGAGAAAUCUUUAGCCCUGCAGCAGGGCAGCUCUGGGCCAUGCCCACAGCUACACGUGGGCCACAGAUGGCUGAACCACACGGACAUACCAGCACAGGCACAAUGUCACCUGUCCCAUCUGGGAGAACAGGAACCCCUUCUCUCUCACGGUUGUACUCCCAGAGAGGAGCUCAAUUCCCAGCACAUGGCAGAUGCGCACUAAUAUUUGGGCAGUGGAGGUGCCAGGCACUGACCACUGGGCUCCAGGUUCAAGAAAGGAAGAAUCUGAGAGCAGAGCCCAGGCAGGCACCUCCCAGUAAUGCUUCCUGGCUACUGAGGCUGGGGUUCUAAGGAGGUGGAGACCCCUGGCCAGGCCUGGCUUCAACUACAGGCAAUGUCCACCCUCCCCCACCUUCUCAGCAGGCCCCCAGCACCACUCCAUCAAGGUGCCCAGUGCUGCCAGCUCCUGCAGUGACCACCAGAAGUGGCCCAAGUCUGGCAUUAUUCAUAUUCCUACUAGACACACACCUAAGCUGACUAUGUGCAUCUCGAAACAGAGGCCUUGAUCCUGCAGGCUGAUGACACCACUCGAGGAAACCAGCCAGCCCUGGGGGCUCUGACGCUGGAUGCAGCCCUCCCAGGAAAUAGCUCCACUGGCUGCAGUAACUGGAGGCUCCUGAGCCACAUUUCAGCCUGCAGUGGGUGGUGGGUGGGCCCCAGCCCAACUGCUGCCCUGCCCCAGGAAGAAGCAGGCCCGUCAAAAUGUCUGACCCCGUCCGUCCCCCAUCCCCUCCCCUGCCCCAGUCUGUCCUCAGUCCUGAUCCCCCUGCCCGCCCCACAGUGGCCCAGGCUGGCCAUGCCCUUCCCACCCUGCAGGCCAGCUGCUCAGAGCCAGGGGCUCACAGCCAGGGACGGAGGCUAUCCCAGCUCCCACCCGGGCUGGGCCCAAACCUGCCUCCUUUGGGCCUCAUUCUGAUUGGAAAAAAACAGCCUCUCUAGUCCCUGUCUCAGGAAGAUGACUUUUCAAACCAGAAUCUUUCUCACAAGUGUCUCCUCAGGACACAGCUGUGUGGUUUCCUGAAGCUCUUUCUGGUUCAAGGUGGGUAAAACACACAUAUCCAUGAAUCUGUUUCUAUGUAUACAAAUAGACUUUGAGCUAUGCCAGUGUUAGUCUAAUAAAGCCCUCUGGCCAACAUCCCCAAUCUCCCUAAACACUCCAAGGAAAAUUUUCUCUUCACCCCACGUCCCUGUCCCUAGGUUAGUCCCCAAGCCUUCCUCUUUCUGACGGAGCCUCAGAGGGCUGGCCCCUGAGCACCCAUCCUCCUCUCUUCUAACAGCCCAGGCCCCAAGCCCCUAGGCCUGAGGGCAUCCUGGAAGUCUGGCUUGCAGCACCCUACACCUGCCUCCCUUCAUAUGGAUUCCCUGAGCCAUGAAAACUCUCGGAAUCUUCACUGAGUGUUCUUAGCGCUCAGUGCCCUCUUCUAGGCCUGUCCCCACCCCAGCCUACUGCUGGAAGGGAGAAGGAGGGAGGCCUUUUCCCCUUCAUACUCUUCCUUGUCCGCCUUCCUCUACUUGGGGGCCUCUUCGACAUCCUCCAUCUGCCUUCCCUGGGGUGGUAUCCCUUUUGAUGAGCCCCAGCGAGGAGGCAAGGAGGAAGAUCCUAAAAAAAACUUAUGGAGGAAGUUACGUCCUGGCAGGAGAGAUAUAGAGGGCUUGGACCCCAUCUGCCCAGUCCCAGGAAUUGAGCACACACAUAACUACACAGACCUGCUGCAGUGCACACAAUCAGUCUUCCACAGAUGUACCUACACAAAUACACAAUCGGGGCUCAGGUGUCUGGGGGCACAGACACAACAGGUUGCCUAGAUCCAGGUGUGUGUGCACACAACUCACGCAAGAAACACCUGCACUUGGCUUGUAGGAGACUAAAAAUCCCAAACAUGCUAUACCUACUAGGUUUGGGGACAAAGUAAAAGUGAAAAUAAUCUCGCUGAUAAGACUAAGGUGUCUUCCCAGAUCUGAUCAGGAGUCCAAUGUGAAUAGGAGACAACAGAGAGCUGUCUUUGUACUUUGGCUCUGAGGAAGGUUUGUGGAAUGGACCGCGUGUGGCCUGAGAGAGCUCGCAUUUCAGGGAAUGCCUGGGCUUGAUGCCUGUUAUCUUGUUCAGUGCCUCUGAUAAAUUAAUAAACUGGAAUCUCACUCAA